rnacentral:rRNA from 1 species
UAGAGUUUGAUCCUGGCUCAGAUUGAACGCUGGCGGCAGGCUUAACACAUGCAAGUCGAGCGGAAACGAUGAUAGCUUGCUAUCAGGCGUCGAGCGGCGGACGGGUGAGUAAUACUUAGGAAUCUACCUAGUAGUGGGGGAUAGCACGGGGAAACUCGUAUUAAUACCGCAUACGACCUACGGGAGAAAGGGGGCAGUUUACUGCUCUCGCUAUUAGAUGAGCCUAAGUCGGAUUAGCUAGAUGGUGGGGUAAAGGCCUACCAUGGCGACGAUCUGUAGCUGGUCUGAGAGGAUGAUCAGCCACACCGGGACUGAGACACGGCCCGGACUCCUACGGGAGGCAGCAGUGGGGAAUAUUGGACAAUGGGGGAAACCCUGAUCCAGCCAUGCCGCGUGUGUGAAGAAGGCCUUUUGGUUGUAAAGCACUUUAAGCAGUGAAGAAGACUCCGUGGUUAAUACCCACGGACGAUGACAUUAGCUGCAGAAUAAGCACCGGCUAACUCUGUGCCAGCAGCCGCGGUAAUACAGAGGGUGCAAGCGUUAAUCGGAAUUACUGGGCGUAAAGGGAGCGUAGGUGGCUCUAUAAGUCAGAUGUGAAAUCCCCGGGCUCAACCUGGGAACUGCAUCUGAAACUGUAGAGCUAGAGUAUGUGAGAGGAAGGUAGAAUUCCAGGUGUAGCGGUGAAAUGCGUAGAGAUCUGGAGGAAUACCGAUGGCGAAGGCAGCCUUCUGGCAUAAUACUGACACUGAGGCUCGAAAGCGUGGGUAGCAAACAGGAUUAGAUACCCUGGUAGUCCACGCCGUAAACGAUGUCUACUAGUCGUUGGGUCCCUUGAGGACUUAGUGACGCAGCUAACGCAAUAAGUAGACCGCCUGGGGAGUACGGCCGCAAGGUUAAAACUCAAAUGAAUUGACGGGGGCCCGCACAAGCGGUGGAGCAUGUGGUUUAAUUCGAUGCAACGCGAAGAACCUUACCUGGUCUUGACAUAUCUAGAAUCCUGCAGAGAUGCGGGAGUGCCUUCGGGAAUUAGAAUACAGGUGCUGCAUGGCUGUCGUCAGCUCGUGUCGUGAGAUGUUGGGUUAAGUCCCGCAACGAGCGCAACCCUUGUCCUUAGUUACCAGCGGGUUAAGCCGGGAACUCUAAGGAUACUGCCAGUGACAAACUGGAGGAAGGCGGGGACGACGUCAAGUCAUCAUGGCCCUUACGACCAGGGCUACACACGUGCUACAAUGGUAGGUACAGAGGGCAGCUACACAGCGAUGUGAUGCGAAUCUCAAAAAGCCUAUCGUAGUCCAGAUUGGAGUCUGCAACUCGACUCCAUGAAGUAGGAAUCGCUAGUAAUCGCGGAUCAGAAUGCCGCGGUGAAUACGUUCCCGGGCCUUGUACACACCGCCCGUCACACCAUGGGAGUUGAUUGCACCAGAAGUGGAUAGCUUAACCUUCGGGGAGGCGUUCACCACGGUGUGGUUGAUGACUGGGGUGAAGUCGUAACAAGGUAGCCGUAGGGGAACCUGCGGCUG